CAGGCACCUCCGUCUGUCAGCUGAAAUUAGGGAUGCCUGGCUCCAGGCUCUGCAGACUCCGAAGAACACCACGGCUGGGCUUGUGAUGGAGCAGGGCUGAGAAAAACUGGAGCUACAGGAACAGGCAUAAUUUCCAUUUCCAUCAACCCUGAAGAAAAUGAAAACACUGGGCAGGACACAACUUCUGAAAAUAGCCGAAUGCAGAGACAGCAGGAGACAAUUCAGAAUACGAGGCUGGGUUUUUCUCAGAACUCCCCUGGCAGCGCUGUAAGGAGAGAAAGCAGAACUUCUCACACUCGAGGGGUAGGUGUUCGCGCUCACGGGGUCUCCCAUCUGUGGAAGCUGGAUGUCUUUGUCUAAAUUUGUCUUUUAAAGUAUCACCAGGGUCCAGGUUGUCCCACCUGCAGAGAUACAGCUCAGAACAUCGGUGACUUACCGAUGACCAGCACCAGUAGGAAGGCCCAGCAUAGAAAAUUUGGAGAAAAUAAGAAACUUCAGCUGUGAUUAUAUAACUAAGACUCAAACAUAAAAGGAGGCCAGAUCAAAAGGGAAUGGGCCCUAAGAGGAGGCAGUAAAGUUCCUUCCAGGAAAACACAGAGAAAGAGAGAGAGGCUGCAGUAGGUGGCCACCCCCUGCCUCCCUCAGGGUGGGUUGCCCUGUCUGGGUCGCAGAUUCUAUUUGAAGAACUCCAUCCAAGCCUCCUCAGUGAAAGGGAGCAAGAAGUAGUGUGAGACAGGGUUACUAAUUUAAGGCUCAGUCUAGAGCUAUUCGGUUAAGAAGAGACCCUCCUCCUGCAAUUUAUAUAAAUGCAAAUGUCACUGGAGUUCUUACCUUCAAUGGGUGGGUUUGGGAACCACCCCAAAGGCAGGGAAGAAACCACUGGAACCUUUAUCUUCAGAAUGUAAUCAUAUGUUAUUAAUCAUAUGUCAUUAAAAUUAGUUGUGAAAACAUCAAAGAUUAUGGAAAGGUGAAAUAUAAAGUGAAAAUUGUUUCCAUGCUUCUCACUUGCAGAGGAAACAACUGUUAAAAGUUUAGUGUACAUCCAUCCAGUACUCUUGUGCCUUAAAAAUUUAUUAUUGCACAUACAUCAGAAUUCUGCAGAGAAGCAGAGCUGAUAGAUGUGUGUGUGUGUGUGUGUGUAGUCACACCCUGAGUGAUGACAUCUCCAUCAAUGACAGACCAUAUAUAUGUUGGUGGUUUCCUAGGAUUGUAAUGAAACUGAAACAUUCCUCUUGCCCAGUGAUGUUGUAGCCACUGUAAUGUCAAAAGAAUGCUUUACCCUUUGGUCUGUGGGAAUGCUGUUGUAAGCAAACCUACCACACCACGAAUCAUAGAAGUAUCGCAUAUUCAAUUAUAUAGUACAUAACCCUUGGCAGGGUUAAUAAAUGACCAUUCCUUGUUUAUAUAUUUACUACCCUCUACUCUCAAUCAUUAUAGUAGGGUGUACUCCUAUGUAUAAGAGAGAGAAAAAGCCUUCUUCCUGGUAACAGUAAGAGCUCCUUGCAUUGUGGCAUAUUGGUUGUUGAAUGACAAUAAUUUUCUUCCUGUAUGUAUUCUUCAGGCUUUUUAAAUUUAAAUUUGUUUAUUUCUAGGCUUGUGGCUAGUCAUUCUAUAAUCAUUUUCUGUUAUACUCAUAGGUUAUUACACUGUUGCUUGGGUCUGUAGCUUCUUCUCCCUUGGGUUACUUUCUCAUUUUGUUGGGCUCAUUAAGUUAAAUUUUAAAGAAUUAAAUGUACAUGAGAACAGAUUUUUUAAAUCUUCACACAUGGCUGAAAUGACUAUUUUGUCCUCAUUCCUGACUGAGUCUGGCUUAUUACAGAAUUAGGUGUUCAUAAUCAUUUUCCCUCAGGUGUCCAUGGUCACUGUGCUGUUUUCUUUCUUUCUUUCUUUCUUUUUUGGUACCAGGGAUUGAACUCGGGUCCUUGCGCUUGUGCAGCAGGCGGCGAAACUACUGAGCUAAAUCCCCAUCCCUGUGCUGUUCUUUUCUAAUACCUGCUUUGUUUUUGAGAUCACAGAUACAAUUUGAACUUCAUUUUUUGGAGGGUUUUUUGCUGUUGUUUUGAUCUUGCCUUUUUAUCUCUGAAAGGUUUAAGAACUUUCAUUAUCCUUAGGGUUAUAACAUUCCAGGGGAUGUGUAGAUGUGAGUUUUUUGUUGUGUUUUGAAACAAGGUCUCUCUACGUAGCCCAGGCUGGCCUUGAACUCGUGGCAAUCCUCCCACCUCAGCCUCCAUGUUCUGAGAUUGCCGAUGUGAGCUACCACAUCUGACUUGUUUCCCCUUUUUCCUCUUUUUUUUUUUUUUAAAAAUCAGAUUAAUUGAAGCCUAAUUGGUGAGCAACAAAUUGCAUAUAUUUGGAGUGUAUGACAGGGUAAGUCUUGACACAGGUCUAUACCCAUCACCAAAAUUGAGAUAAGGUGACGUUCAUUGCCCCUCAACAGCUUCCUUCGGUCCCUUAGUAUCUCUUCCCUCUUCUCUUUUUCCUCCUUCCCACCUCUCUCCUUUCUGCCCCUCCCUUACCGCUUUCUUCCCAGGAAACUAUUGAUCUACUGUCUGUCACACAGAUUAUGUAAUUUGCACAUUUCAGACUCUUAUAUAAGUGGAAUCGUGGAGCAUUUGUUUUUCUCUCUGACAUCUUUCACUUAGCAAAAUUAUUUUGAGAUUCAGCCAUAGAGUUGUAUGCAUCAAUAGUUUAUUCUUGGGCUGGGGAUGUAGCUCAGUGGUUCUGCCGCCUGCCUUGCAAGCACAAGGUCCUGAGUUCAAUCAGUACAAAAAAAAAAGUUUAUUCUUAGUUAUUACUGGGUAUUAUUCCAUCACAUGGAUACAGCAGUUACUUACCGAUGAACAUUGGGUUAUUUCCAGUUUGGGGCAACUCCAGAUAAAGUUGCUGUGGACCUCAUGUGCAAGUCCUUGCGUGGACAUAUCCUUUCCUUUCUGUUGGGCAACUAGAUCAUAUGGUAGGUGUAUGUUUAACUUUCUCUGAAACUGUCAAACUGUUUUCCAAAGUGUUGGUACUAUUUCUAUCCCUUCUUAUGAAUGAUUUGUUUCAGCAAACAUAUUUUUAAAUUUUGUUCUUAAAUUUUUUGAUUUUUAAAGUCUUUAUUCUUGGAUUUCUCUUUUUUUUAGUGGCAAACCUGGUUUAAUAAGCCCCUCUACAUGCUCCUGCUGUGAUGACUGCCUCCCCCCAGGCCCAAAAACAACAGGGCCAACUGACCAUGGACCUGAAUCUCUGGACUGUGAACCAAAACAAACCUUUUGUCUUUAUAAGUUUAUUUUCUCAGGUAUUUGCUACAGUAACAGAAAGCUGACUAACACAUAAGUGGAAAUAGCUAUUAGGCAAUUGAAGUAAAUUAACUGAUGCUUAAAAGGCUUAGAAUUGAAUCCCAGUGGAAAUUUUAUGCAAAUAUUACAAAAGACAAUACAUUUACUGUAGAUCAGGAGUUUGAAAUUUAAUAGGUACUGAAACAAUGUUGAGCUUGAUUUGACUAAUACUUCAUGACAUAGGAAUUCACUCAGUCAAGCAUGUUUUGGCUUGGGGAGGAGUCUGAGUGCAGAAGAAAAAAGAUAGGGCUUAGUAUCUUGAAAAGGAAUCUAUUUUGCCCCUGUAAAUUGGUAAUAAGACACAGCUGACAGAAAGUGGAAGAAAAGGCAAGUACCUUAAUAGCUGCAUCUAUUGUUCUAGAUAACACCUUUUCUAUUGAAAGCUACACAAAAUAUUUAUGCAUACAGUUUUAAGAGAAAAACUGGAGUACGAGGUAGCGUUAGUAAAUGUCUUUUUGAAAUCAGGUUUGUGGUAUUUUAAAAUCUGUGAGCAUCUUCACAAAGUAAAGACAGCAAUGGAAACUGAUUGUGGUUGAGUCCCACAGCUCACCUCUAAAUCUUCGUGUAUCAUUUAGAACCCUGAACUCGUACUCCCCCAAAUCACUUUUCUGUAAUUCAUUGUUAUGGCCCAGCUUUUAAAGAUCUUCCAAAGAUGUUCCAUAAUUCCUUUAAUAAAUUGUUCUACUUUAAAAUUUACAAAAACUUAUAAACUUCUUAAAUGAUAGAGAGAUGGUAUACUAUGCUGAACUCUACAAAAAUUUCCUGUCAUCCACAACAGGAAGGAAGGAAGUAAGCAAAGAGAGAUUACAUACAGUGGGAGCUUGGUACAGUUCUCACUGUUAACUGGUUCUGGGAAGCACCCGUGAAUGCCAAAAACACAAGUGCCAAGCACAUUUGCUGUUGGUACCGACAGAUCCUAACUUGCAUGCAGCUACCGAACUUGGGGAGCACCGGAACAAAAUCUGCUCCAAAUGCUUUGAGUCCCAGAUUCAACGAGUUUCAAAGCAGUGGAGUACGAUGGUGUGACUCUUUUGGAAAGAUUGUUAGGAAGAUGAUAAUGAGAUGACUAGUUUCUAGAUUAAAAGCUUCUCACUCACGUUUUGUUUGACCUUAUCACAAUCAUUGUGGAGGUUUGGAGUUUCGACUUGAUCGGCUUUGGCAUCUUCCCUGGGGAUUGGCCAAGCACACUUCUGGAUGCAUCUGGGUGUGUCAGAGAAGCAUGGCCUUAGGGUCUGUGUUAGUCCCUCGCCCACUCUGCUCCUCUGUUCCUGGCACUGUUCCCCUCCUCUGCUGCCUGGCUCCAAGCCCUUCUGCCUUGUGUUUCUGCUUUGGAGAAUUUCUAGCAUUGACUGCAUCCUGUGAACCAUUAGCCAAGUUUAACCUGUUGCUAGAACAAAAUACCUGACAAAAACAGACAUCAAUGACUAUGAUAUUUGAUUGUUGAACAGAUAAAUGCAUCAAAGUUUAAGAAGUACUAAUUUAGUCAUUUAACAAAAAUGUAUCAAGAGGGCUGGGGAUUUAGCUCUGUGGCACCAUGCCUGCCUCGCAAGCACAAGGUCCCAAGUUCGAUCCCUGGUACCAAACAAAUAAAAAUAAAAAAGAAUCUACUUUUAUAUAAAGACUAAAGGUUGAUGUUCUUGACUUUAGUGUAAACAAUAAAAGCUCUUAGUGACCAUAGAGUUUCUGUUGAGUCAGACACUUAUAGUUAUGUAAACCAAAGUGAUGUGAGUGACUUCUUGCAGUAGCAGAUCAUUUUUUUUCACUUAACUCAGAUUAUCAAUUUAUUUUAGGCAUAGAAUUCAAUUUCCUUCCCAUAUAUUUAUGUCCUUGAAAGCUUCUAAAAGCUGCUUCCUGUUUUCCAUAUGAUAGGUGGCUGCAUUUACUGGUAGAUGACAUAUUUAUGUCAUUUGAAAAGGUCUAUGGCAUAUGAUUUGACCUUUGAGUGAAGUCAUUACAUAAAUGUCACUUGUCAUUAUUCAGCUGUGGGGGGAAAAAUAAGCUUUAAAUAUAGUCAAGUACUCCUACCUGGAACAAAAUAAUAUACUUCUUUGUUAUAAGUAAGAACGGUUAGCUUCUGCAUCCUGUACCCUACUAAGCAUGAACUUGUUGACCAUUUUAUGUUCAGUUGGUCUGUUUGUUGCGAAGCUCUGCUCACUCCUUCAUGCUGACAGUGAGUACUGUCUCACGCUGUGUUAUACUUCUCUCUUAGAGCAGCAGCAUGCUCCAGGUGGUGAGCCAAUAGCAAUGACCUCACUGAGCAGGAAGCAAAACAUCAUACAGGGAUAACAUCACAGUGAAGGAAGAAAAGGAAGAGAAGUGUAGGGCCCUUCUGUCUGCAUACAAGGACUGGAAGACACAAGGAGAGGAAAGGGUAGGGCAGUAAGUUAGUAUCUGUGUUAUCUGAUUUCCACUUUCCUUGGUAGAGCUUGUGCUACUUCCAAAGCUUUUGGCAGCAUGUAAAAAACUACCAUUUGAUUUAAGUUAAUGAAAACAAUUCUAGAAUAUUCCAGUUUAGUUUUUCCUUUUGGUUAUUACUGUGCUGCCUAUAAGAGAGGUGACAACUCUCAGAAUACUGGGGGCAAUGGGAGAGAAAAAGAAUCAUUCUGAUUUCUGUUGUUUUUUCUUCUCACCUCAAUCUUUACCCCAUGCAGCAUGAUGGAUACAUUUCCCACUGCACCCCGUUAUCAGAUUACAGUAGUGUCACACAUGAGGGAUUACUGCGGUUCUCUUCUGUGACAGUUGAGUGAUUGUGUCAACUUGAGAAGUCGGUUAAGCAAAGCUUGGCUAAAUGGGCUCAACAAUUCCACACCCUGGGGCAUGGAGGACUCACCCUAGGGUCCCUGGGGCCCGGAUGCUACAAAGGGGAAAUGAGGAAGGAGGCUCUGCCUCUGUUCCUUCCGAGGAGCUCCAGACUUUGCCUUGGACGUCAUCUCCUGGCUUCCAGCGCAGACUCUCCAGGUUCCGGAACAAAUCCUUCAGCUUCUGGUGCAGACUCUUCAGCCUUCCAUCCCAGACCCAUCGGCCUCGUGGUACGGGCUCGCACGGGGCACUGCAGUGAGCUCCAGGCCUUCAACUGAAUCCUAGACUCCAGUGUGCAGACAGACCCUCUGCACCCUUCCUCAUUGACUCUGUGGGCGCCAUUGUGGGCCAGUCUUGUGAAUUCAUAUACAUUUGUGCAUCUUGUGUGGUGUCUGUCCCUCGAGUACAUAUGACUGAUACGUCUUCCCAUGAGAGACAUUAUGGUUUAUCUCACCAAGUACUCAUUAAGUGAUUUUCUUUGGUAGCCUCUGUCUGAACACUAUCAUGUCAUUUCUGUAGCUCUGAGCUUAUGUUCUCCAGGAAAGCAGACAUGAGCCAUAUGUAGCCCUUUAAUUUUAAAUUGAAUAAAAUUGUAUUAAGAAUUUGUUUUCUCAGUUGCACUAGGUACAUUUCAAGUGCUCAUAUGUGGCUGUGUGGGCACAGAUAAAGUGUAUCUCAUGGGCACAGGCAAUCUUGGU
ensembl:lncRNA